rnacentral:rRNA from 1 species
GAUGAACGCUAGCGGCAGGCUUAAUACAUGCAAGUCGAGGGGUAGCAAGAUUGUAGCGAUACAAUUGUUGACGACCGGCAAACGGGUGCGGAACACGUACACAACCUUCCUACAAGUGGGGAAUAGCCCAGAGAAAUUUGGAUUAAUACCCCGUAACAUAGCGAUGUGGCAUCACAUUGCUAUUAUAGCUUCGGCGCUUGUUGAUGGGUGUGCGGCUGAUUAGAUAGUUGGCGGGGUAACGGCCCACCAAGUCUACGAUCAGUAGCUGAUGUGAGAGCAUGAUCAGCCACACGGGCACUGAGACACGGGCCCGACUCCUACGGGAGGCAGCAGUAAGGAAUAUUGGACAAUGGACGCAAGUCUGUUCCAGCCAUGCCGCGUGAAGGAUUAAGGUCCUCUGGAUUGUAAACUUCUUUUAUAAGGGACGAAAAAAGGUCUUUCUAGAUCGUCUGACGGUACCUUAUGAAUAAGCACCGGCUAACUCCGUGCCAGCCGCCGCUGUAAUAC